rnacentral:rRNA from 1 species
AKCUUAUAAUGCAGUCGACGGAGAGUUUUGUAGUAAUACGGAACUUCUCAGUGGCGAACGGSCGAGUAACGAGUUGGUGACCUGCCCCGAAGUGUGGGAUAACAGUCCGAAAGGAUUGCUAAUACCGCAKGUGAUCACGAUGUUUAGAAGUUGSSRWUAAAAGCCRMUGCGGUUCSGGAGGGAGGGCYYYCCUUCCCWWRWUCKWGWUKGWGRGSUAAYGGCSCACCAMGGSUACGRSGGGUAAGGGACCUGAGAGGGUGGUCCCUCGCAAUGGCACUGAAACACGGGCCAUACACCUACGGGUGGCAGCAGUAGGGAAUAUUGGGCAAUGGGCGAAAGCCUGACCCAGCAACGCCGCGUGCACGAUGAAGGCCUUCGGGUCGUAAAGUGCUUUUCUGAGGAAUGAGAAAGGACAGUACCUCAGGAAUAAGCCUCGGCUAACUACGUGCCAGCAGCCGCGGUAAAACGUAGGAGGCGAGCGUUAUCCGGAUUUACUGGGCGUAAAGCGUGUGUAGGCGGUACGGCAAGUUGGAUGUGAAAGCUCCUGGCUUAACUAGGAGAGGUCGUUCAAUACUACCGAACUUGAGGGCAUCAGAGGAAGGUGGAAUUCCCGGUGUAGUGGUGAAAUGCGUAGAUAUCGGGAGGAACACCAGUGGCGAAAGCGGCCUUCUGGGAUGAUCCUGACGCUCAGACACGAAAGCUAGGGUAGCGAACGGGAUUAGAGACCCCGGUAGUCCU